UACAAAGAGCAUCUGUAGACAGAAGUCUAA
rnacentral:piRNA from 1 species